UGGGGAAUAUUGCGCAAUGGGCGAAAGCCUGACGCAGCGACGCCGCGUGCGGGAAGGAGGCCCUCGGGCCGUAAACCGCUUUCAGCGGGGACGAUCGUGACUGUACCCGCAGAAGAAGCCCCGGCUAACUACGUGCCAGCAGCCGCGGUAAUACGUAGGGGGCGAGCGUUGUCCGGAUUCAUUGGGCGUAAAGCGCGCGUAGGCGGCCCGGCAGGUCGGGGGUGAAAACACGGGGCCCAACCCCGUGCCUGCCCCCGAAACCGCCGGGCUCGAGUCCCGCAGGGGAUGGCGGAACUCCCGGUGUAGCGGUGGAAUGCGCAGAUAUCGGGAGGAACACCGGUGGCGAAGGCGGCCAUCUGGGCGGGCACUGACGCUGAGGCGCGAGAGCCGGGGGAGCGAACAGGA
rnacentral:rRNA from 1 species